rnacentral:rRNA from 1 species
GCCCUUCGGGGUGGAUUAGUGGCGAACGGGUGAGUAACACGUGGGCAAUCUGCCCUUCACUCUGGGACAAGCCUUGGAAACGAGGUCUAAUACCGGAUAACACUCCCAUUCUCCUGGAUGGGGGUUAAAAGCUCCGGCGGUGAAGGAUGAGCCCGCGGCCUAUCAGCUAGUUGGUGAGGUAAUGGCUCACCAAGGCGACGACGGGUAGCCGGCCUGAGAGGGCGACCGGCCACACUGGGACUGAGACACGGCCCAGACUCCUACGGGAGGCAGCAGUGGGGAAUAUUGCACAAUGGGCGAAAGCCUGAUGCAGCGACGCCGCGUGAGGGAUGACGGCCUUCGGGUUGUAAACCUCUUUCAGCAGGGAAGAAGCGAAAGUGACGGUACCUGCAGAAGAAGCGCCGGCUAACUACGUGCCAGCAGCCGCGGUAAUACGUAGGGCGCAAGCGUUGUCCGGAAUUAUUGGGCGUAAAGAGCUCGUAGGCGGCUUGUCACGUCGAUUGUGAAAGCUCGGGGCUUAACCCCGAGUCUGCAGUCGAUACGGGCUAGCUAGAGUGUGGUAGGGGAGAUCGGAAUUCCUGGUGUAGCGGUGAAAUGCGCAGAUAUCAGGAGGAACACCGGUGGCGAA